rnacentral:rRNA from 1 species
GACAGAGGGUGCAAACGUUGUUCGGAAUUACUGGGCGUAAAGCGUGCGUAGGUGGUUUGUUAAGUCUGAUGUGAAAGCCCUGGGCUCAACCUGGGAACUGCAUUGGAAACUGGCUGACUAGAGUGCGGUAGAGGGGUGUGGAAUUCCCGGUGUAGCAGUGAAAUGCGUAGAUAUGCGGAGGAACACCGAUGGCGAAGGCAAUCCCCUGGGCCUGCACUGACGCUCAUGCACGAAAGCGUGGGGAGCAAACAGG